GCCAUUGUGGCUUAGUGGUUUGAGCAUUGGACUGUGACUCUGGAGACCUGGGUUCAAUUUGCAGCUUGGCU